rnacentral:rRNA from 1 species
CCCCCACGUUCGGAUUGCAGGCUGAAAUUCGCCUGCAUGAAGCCGGAAUUGCUAGUAAUGGCAGGUCAGCAUACUGCCGUGAAUACGUUCCCGGGCCUUGUACACACCGCCCGUCAAGCCAUGGAAGCCGGGGGGUGCCUGAAGUGCGCUGCCGCGAGGAGCGCCCUAGGGUAAAACCGGUGACUGGGGCUAAGUCGUAACAAGGUACC